rnacentral:rRNA from 1 species
AAUAGAUACCCGGGUAGUCCUAGCCGUAAACGAUGAACACUAGGCGUAGUCGGUAUCGACCCCGGCUGUGCCGUAGCUAACGCAUUAAGUGUUCCGCCCGGGGAGUACGGCCGCAAGGCUAAAACUCAAAGGAAUUGACGGGAGCCCGCACAAGCAGCGGAGCGUGUGGUUUAAUUCGUCGCAACGCGAAGAACCUUACCAGGGCUUGACAUGUGGCGGAAAACGGCGGAAACGUCGUCCUCCCGCAAGGGACCGUCAUGCAGGUGUUGCAUGGCUGUCGUCAGCUCGUGUCGUGAGAUGUUGGGUUAAGUCCCGCAACGAGCGCAACCCCCGUGGCAUGUUGUAUCUCUCAUGCCAGACUGCCGAGAGAAACUCGGAGGAAGGUGGGGAUGACGCCAAGUCAGCAUGGCCCUUACGUCCUGGGCUACACACACGCUACAAUGGCCGGUACAACGGGUUGCCAAACCGCGAGGUGGAGCUAAUCCCUUAAAGCCGGUCUCAGUUCGGAUUGCAGGCUGCAACUCGCCUGCA